rnacentral:lncRNA from 12 species
CUAGGGAUGGGCCUGGUGAUGGGGCUUUUUCAAGCUCACAGAUAAUUCUAAUGUAUAACCUGGGCUGAGACUCUGCUGUGAGUGCAGAAGAAAGAGCUGGCCAUAUUUAAGCGAAAUUGGGAAUUGCUGAACAUUGCAGAGAGAGACAGAGAGAGAGAGCCCAACCAGAUACCAAGAGGGAAGUAUCUCAGCGAAUCUGCCUCCAGCUAGUGACUGUUUUUUUACCUUCUUCUGUUCUUGGAGUUGUCCAUUUAUCUCCCACUUCCAGACCUGGAGCCUCGCCUCCUGUUUUUCAGACCCAAACUUCGCAUCAUCGUUGACAGCCCUGAGGACCCCUCCACCCAGCACUCCCCCAAGCAGAGUAGCUCCGAGGCACACUCAGAAGCAACUUGAGGCCCUCCCACGCCACUCCGGGGCAGCAGGAAGUGUGUGGAGAGCCUCAUGCCCUUUCUGCGUUGCUGCCACCAAGCCAGCAUUCCUACGCUCUGGCUGUCACAGCAUGCCAGCACCCCCGAUAGAUGGAGAAUGCAAGCAGGAGUCACAUCUGCUAGUUCACAGCUCUCUCCUUGGCUCCUACAACAGUGCCUGGCGUCUGGCUGGCCCCCAGAAAGAAGUUGAAGAGGAGAUGGUACCAUGUGAAGUCAUUGCUGCUGUCAAACCCAGAAGAGAUGUCCUGCAUCAUCACUGACACGUCUUCAGGCCUCUCUACUGCUGAUUACCAAGUCAGUGGAGCUCACGUGAUGGUGAAGGGGGACGCUGGAUAA